rnacentral:piRNA from 1 species
UGAAAGGAUGGACCAUGU